rnacentral:rRNA from 1 species
GACGAACGCUGGCGGCGUGCUUAACACAUGCAAGUCGAACGGAAAGGCCCUGCUUUUGUGGGGUGCUCGAGUGGCGAACGGGUGAGUAACACGUGAGUAACCUGCCCUUGACUUUGGGAUAACUUCAGGAAACUGGGGCUAAUACCGGAUAGGAGCUCCUGCUGCAUGGUGGGGGUUGGAAAGUUUCGGCGGUUGGGGAUGGACUCGCGGCUUAUCAGCUUGUUGGUGGGGUAGUGGCUUACCAAGGCUUUGACGGGUCGCCGGCCUGAGUGGGUGACCGGGCACAUUGGGACUGAGAUACGGCCCAGACGCCUACGGGAGGCAGCAGUGGGGAAUAUUGCACAAUGGGCGGAAGCCUGAUGCAGCAACGCCGCGUGCGGGAUGACGGCCUUCGGGUUGUAAACCGCUUUCGCCUGUGACGAAGCGUGAGUGACGGUAAUGGGUAAAGAAGCACCGGCUAACUACGUG